UACAGAGGGUGCAAGCGUUGUUCGGAAUUAUUGGGCGUAAAGCGCGUGUAGGCGGUUUUGCAAGUCGGGUGUGAAAGCCCUCAGCCCAACUGAGGAAGUGCGCCCGAAACUGCAGAUCUUGAGUACCGGAGAGGAUGGCGGAAUUCCCCAAGUAGAGGUGAAAUUCGUAGAUAUGGGGAGGAACACCGGUGGCGACGGCGGCCAUCUGGACGGAUACUGACGCUGAGACGCGAAAGCGUGGGUAGCAAACAGG
rnacentral:rRNA from 1 species